UAAUACCGAGGUCGAGCAGCCCGGCGCGGCGCCGCGGCCCGGCGACUGCCAUCGCGGAACCCACAAGCCAUAAACGUAGGGCUCGCUGUCCAGAUAACUACUAGAGUAUGAUCAGCAUAUGGAAAUUAUGGAAUGAGCGAAUACCCUACAUCUAUCUAUGUACCUAAGCCUCAGCGCACACUACAAAGUUGCUUAUAAUUUAUGACGCGGCGGUUUAUGGGCGAUGGGCCAAGUUCGCACAUGCGCCGUGGUGCGCCGUCGCGACUUGUAUCCAUCUCGUAAAUAUCCGCUAACCCCUUCCAAGGGUCAGGUUUCAUUGACCUCGACAGUCGAUAUAACGACGGAAUUGUCAACUCAGCUCCUAACUAAAGCAGAAUGGCUUUCCCUAUUCUUUGUCCUUAUUUCACAUUCACCCAACACAAUUCCUGCCUUCCACAUCACGCGCAAUAUUACCUCUCUUUCAUACUAGUAAAAAUACAUUUUCUAUUCCGCUCCCCCGGUCGUAAAUAUGGAUGCUGCGUAGGGAAUGCGGGAUCGCAGGGGCGAAAGGAUGGGGACGCCGCGUGUUUCCGGAGGGUGAAAUGGGGUGCUUAGUAAGUUUAAAUUGUGCGGAAGUUUUGGUAAAUUUCAGGAGGAUCGAUAUACAGAGUAUUAACUUUUGCUUUUAAAUUAAACAACCGAAAAGUUGAAGAUUAGUUUUAAUUAUGUAGACAGAUGUCCUUACUACCAUUACUUUAUU